rnacentral:rRNA from 1 species
UACACAUGCAGUCGAACGGUNAGANGNGCCCNNUCGGGGUACACGAGUGGCGAACGGGUGAGUANACACGUGGGUGAUCUGCCCUGCACUUCGGGAUAAGCCCGGGAAACUGGGUCUAAUACCGGAUAGUACUGCGCGGUGCAUGCCGUGUGGUGGAAAGAUUUAUCGGUGCAGGAUGGGCCCGCGGCCUAUCAGCUUGUUGGUGGGGUAAUGGCCUACCAAGGCGACGACGGGUAGCCGGCCUGAGAGGGCGACCGGCCACACUGGGACUGAGACACGGCCCAGACUCCUACGGGAGGCAGCAGUGGGGAAUAUUGCACAAUGGGCGCAAGCCUGAUGCAGCGACGCCGCGUGAGGGAUGACGGCCUUCGGGUUGUAAACCUCUUUCAGCAGGGACGAAGCGCAAGUGACGGUACCUGCAGAAGAAGCACCGGCCAACUACGUGCCAGCAGCCGCGGUAAUACGUAGGGUGCAAGCGUUGUCCGGAAUUACUGGGCGUAAAGAGCUCGUAGGCGGUUUGUCGCGUCGUCUGUGAAAACCAGCAGCUCAACUGUUGGCUUGCAGGCGAUACGGGCAGACUUGAGUAUUUCAGGGGAGACUGGAAUUCCUGGUGUAGCGGUGAAAUGCGCAGAUAUCAGGAGGAACACCGGUGGCGAAGGCGGGUCUCUGGGAAAUAACUGACGCUGAGGAGCGAAAGCGUGGGUAGCGAACAGGAUUAGAUACCCUGGUAGUCCACGCCGU